GGUCAAGCUAGAAAGGGCACACGGUGGAUGCCUUGGCGUCGAGAGGCGAUGAAGGACGUGGGCAGCUGCGAAAAGCUCCGGGGAGUGGCUAACACACUUUGAUCCGGAGAUAUCCGAAUCGGGAAACCGUCUGGGGUCAUACCCAGAAGCCUAGCGCUGAAUACAUAGGCGCUAGUGCAGCCAACCCAGGGAACUGAAACAUCUAAGUACCUGGAGGAAAGGACAUCAACCGAGACUUCCCUAGUAGCGGCGAGCGAACGGGAAACAGCCUAAACCAUAUCAAUGUAAGCGUAGGGGCGUUGUUGGUAUGGGGUCGUGGGACCAGUGGGAGAGCGCCCUAAAGCUCUCACAGAGUUACCAAACCAAACGUUAGAUGAACGAUCUGGAAAGAUCGGCGAGACGAGGUGACAGCCCUGUAGUCGAAAGCGUUUGGUCUCUGCACUGGCACCCGAGUACCGCGGGGCACGUGGAAUCCAGCGGGAAUCUGGGAGGACCAUCUUCCAAGGCUAAGUACUACUCGACGACCGAUAGUGAACAAGUACCGUGAGGGAAAGGUGAAAAGAACCCCGACAAGGGGAGUGAAAUAGUACCUGAAACCGUGUGUCUACAAGCAGUCGAAGCACUAUGCCCUUCGGGGAAUGUGCGACGGCGUACCUUUUGCAUAAUGGGCCUGCGAGUUACGCUUUGUUGCAAGGUUAAGCCGAUAGGUGAAGCCGUAGGGAAACCAAGUCCAAAUAGGGCGAUUUAGUAGCAGGGCGUAGACCCGAAACCGAGCGAUCUAUCCUUGGGCAGGUUGAAGCGUGGGUAAAACUGCGUGGAGGACCGAACCCACUGAAGUUGAAAAUUCAGGGGAUGACCUGAGGAUCGGAGU
rnacentral:rRNA from 1 species